ACUCCUACGGGAGGCAGCAGUGGGGAAUAUUGCAUCAAUGGGGAAAGACCCUGAUGCAGCCAUGCCGCGUGUGUGAAGAAGGCCUUCGGGUUGUAAAGCACUUUCAGUAGGGAGGAAGGUAGUGUAGUUAACACCUGCACUAUUUGACGUUACCUACAGAAGAAGCACCGGCUAACUCCGUGCCAGCAGCCGCGGUAAUACGGAGGGUGCGAGCGUUAAUCGGAAUUACUGGGCGUAAAGCGCAUGCAGGCGGCCUGUUAAGUCAGAUGUGAAAGCCCGGGGCUUAACCUCGGAAUUGCAUUUGAAACUGGCAGGCUAGAGUCUUGUAGAGGGGGUAGGAAUUUC
rnacentral:rRNA from 1 species